rnacentral:rRNA from 1 species
AUUGAACGCUGGCGGCAGGCCUAACACAUGCAAGUCGAGCGGAUGACGGGAGCUUGCUCCUUGAUUCAGCGGCGGACGGGUGAGUAAUGCCUAGGAAUCUGCCUGGUAGUGGGGGACAACGUUUCGAAAGGAACGCUAAUACCGCAUACGUCCUACGGGAGAAAGCAGGGGACCUUCGGGCCUUGCGCUAUCAGAUGAGUCUGGGUCGGAUUAGCUAGUUGGUGAGGUAAUGGCUCACCAAGGCGACGAUCCGUAACUGGUCUGAGAGGAUGAUCAGUCACACUGGAACUGAGACACGGUCCAGACUCCUACGGGAGGCAGCAGUGGGGAAUAUUGGACAAUGGGCGAAAGCCUGAUCCAGCCAUGCCGCGUGUGUGAAGAAGGUCUUCGGAUUGUAAAGCACUUUAAGUUGGGAGGAAGGGCAGUAAGUUAAUACCUUGCUGUUUUGACGUUACCGACAGAAUAAGCACCGGCUAACUCUGUGCCAGCCGCCGCAGUAACAC